rnacentral:tRNA from 1 species
CGCCCGGUAGAGCAAUGGUCAGACGCCGGCCGCUUGUCGCGGUCUUGUUGCAGGUUCGAGUCCUGUCGAGCCU